GUUUUAAUUUGACGUUAUAAAUAAUAUUUCGUAGCUUGUAAUUUGAUCAAUUUAAUUGGUUAAAACAGUAAAGGGGUUCAACGUUCCACGUAGGAACUAAAGUCGCAUGUUUGGUUCCACCACGGACUGAGAAAGAGACGGUAUAAUCGGAAGACAGGUUCACGAGUCGAUCUGGAUGCAUUUAAGUGACUUUCGUGGACUGCAAAGACUUUAAGGACACUCUCAUGACUGGCAGUGCAACGAGGUUUCCCAGAGACUAUGGGUUGAGGAGGAAUUGGAAGUUUGUCGGCUUAGACCUGGUGUCAUUCCAUCAGUGUUAAACUUCCCGGCUCAUCUUGGAAGAGUACGUACCAGAAAGACCACGACCAAGCAGCCUUGAGAUCUUAGACAGCGUCUCCCUGAGGUCCCUCUCUAUCUCCCCACACAUCCACCAACCACUGGAACACAUCUCCAAAGUUCUGCUGGACCAGCUCAGCUUCCCCUCAGAAGAAGUUCUGCCAGAUGAAGGAGCCUUUUGAGAGGCAGCUGGCAUCGUGAUUGGACUGUACUUUGGUCUGUUCCAAUCCAGCUUCGGCUCCAGAGACGGCAGGCAGGACGAGUCAACGGAGGCCGGGUGGACGAAGGCAUGCAGCUGAGUACAAUCCAGAAAACAACAGAGGAGGAGUGCAGCAGCCCAGAGCCAGAACAAACAGAGUAGCAUGACCAAAGAACUACAGACUCUUCACAACCUGCUCAAACUCUUGGUACAGGACCUCACCACACGGGUCAAGAAGGUUUCCAUCUCAUUUCUACUCUGAAGC
ensembl:lncRNA